CAGAUUUCAUUGCUGAGUGAUAUUGCAUUUUAGAAUCAUCAUACCUGAAUCCACUCAUUAUGCUGCUAUGGGCCUGAUGACACAGAUUUCAUUGCUGAGUGAUAUUGCAUUUUAGAAUCAUCAUACCUGAAUCCACUCAUUGUGCUGCUACGGGCCUGAUGACAUAGAUUUCAUUGCUGAGUGAUAUUGCAUUGUACGUAAGUACCACAACUUCUUUAUCCAUUUUUCACUUUCUGCGAUAUUGAACUUGUACCGUAAACGAGGUUCUUGUAAACAGA